rnacentral:lncRNA from 1 species
UUUGACUUGUGGUUUGCAGGAUCUCCUGGCAGAGCAGAAGGGAAAGUGGCCUUAGGAGGCAGCUGGAAGCUGCCUACCCCGGCCCUAGAAGCUGCUGCCUCUGAAUGGAUGGGAGUCAUCAUCGUCAGCACAAAUCAUGCCAGAGCUGAGGAAGGGCUGAGCAGGCACUGAGCUGGGCAGGGGAUUUCCAAGAAGGACAGCAGGAGACAAGAUUAAGUGAGAUACGUGGCUGCUGUUAUAUUUCUAUUGGACAGUGCCGAUGCUGCUCAGCAACCUCUAUUUCAAAGACAAGAAAACAAAAUUCCACUGGGAGGAAGGGUUUAUCACAGGGCUUGCAGUUGGCUGAGAGAACAGUGGUGGAAAGAGCAACACCAGAGGUGGGAAUGUGGGGAGGUGGGGGACCCUCUGGGUGGGUCUGGUUUGUCUGAGGUGACUCCUAAGUGUUCC